AACGAACGCUGGCGGCAGGCUUAACACAUGCAAGUCGAACGCCCCGCGAGGGGAGUGGCCGACGGGUGAGUAACGCGUGGGAACAUACCCUUUUCUACGGAAUAGCUCUGGGAAACUGGAAUUAAUACCGUAUACGCCCUACGGGGGAAAGAUUUAUCGGGGAAGGAUUGGCCCGCGUUGGAUUAGCUAGUUGGUGGGGUAAAGGCCUACCAAGGCGACGAUCCAUAGCUGGUCUGAGAGGAUGAUCAGCCACAUUGGGACUGAGACACGGCCCAAACUCCUACGGGAGGCAGCAGUGGGGAAUAUUGGACAAUGGGCGCAAGCCUGAUCCAGCCAUGCCGCGUGAGUGAUGAAGGCCUUAGGGUUGUAAAGCUCUUUCACCGAUGAAGAUAAUGACGGUAGUCGGAGAAGAAGCCCCGGCUAACUUCGUG
rnacentral:rRNA from 1 species